rnacentral:rRNA from 1 species
CUUUAGUGGCGAACGGGUGCGUAAUACGUGAGAAUCUGCCCUUAGGAGGAGAAUAACUUCUGGAAACGGUUGCUAAGUCUCCAUAUGCCGAGAGGUGAAAUAGUUUAUACUGCCUAGGGAUGAGCUCACGCCUGAUUAGCUUGUUGGUAAGGUAAUGGCUUACCAAGGCCACGAUCAGUAGCUGGUUUGAGAGAACGAUCAGCCACACUGGGACUGAGACACGGCCCAGACUCCUCCGGGAGGCAGCAGUGAGGAAUUUUCCGCAAUGGGCGAAAGCCUGACGGAGCAAUACCGCGUGAGGGAUGAAGGAUUUUGGUCUGUAAACCUCUUUUCUCAAGAAAGAAGUUCUGACGGUACUUGAGGAAUAAGCAUCGGCUAACUCCGUGCCAGCAGCCGCGGUAAUACGGGGGAUGCAAGCGUUAUCCGGAAUCAUUGGGCGUAAAGCGCCUGUAGGUUGUUUAAUAAGUCUGUUGUUAAAGACUAGGGCUUAACCCU